rnacentral:lncRNA from 1 species
UGAAGAUAAAAUAAAAUUCUGCAAAGAAUCUGAGAGUUUUUAAUGUCCUCUUGGCUUAAAAUGAGUUGGAAUUGUUUGGUGGUAAUUUUUCUUUCUUUUAUCCUUAAACAUAUUAAAGAGAAAAAUGAAAAUAACUUAUUUUGAAUAUCUAAAUGCUCCUUUUACAAAAGGGGACGCUUUAGAACGCUUGUCUAGAAAAAGAAGUGAGCUGAAACAUUGUGCUAAUGGGAUUUGCAGCAUAAAAUAUGGCUAAUUUCUCUUGUAUGACUACAGGUGGCAGUGUAGAAGCCAAGAACAAAAAUUGGCAGAAAUUGUGUUCUGUGUACGAGAAUAUGAAGAGUGUACUCAUGACUAAGCACAGGAACCUGGAAAACCACAGGCUUUAGUCAGGUGAUCCCUGAUGAGUAGCCAGCCCACCAAGAAGGGACUGCAGCACACAGGUCGUGUUGGAUUAAUGCUGUGGAUCAAUCAACCCAGAACCAGUAGUUGCCCAUCAGUCGCUCAGUAGUCAGUGUAGAUUCUGUCUUUACAAUCAGCAGCUACAUCUGGCUACUGGGUCUCUGAUGACAUCUCCUACCUCCUGUCUAGACUUUUUGUUGGAUUUGUGUCUUCUCUCCUGGGUGCAGAGCAAGUUCACAAUGCGAACAAGUGAAUGCCUGAGGUGUGGCCCCAAAUAAAGGAUUGGAUAUCUGUUGGAUCUGCUUCA